UUCAGCCUGCGGUGUUCGAGAUUUACGGAAAAAUGGAACCGACGCAAUUAAAAAGGAGCCCGAAAUAAAUUCAGAUUGCGGUUUGCAGACCUCCCUUGCAUAAGCUCGGUUGACUUGUCCCGACCUUUGUUAAGGACGUUGGGAGCAGUAAAGCAUGAGAUAGGGCACCACCCUGGAGUACAGGGUUCUUAUAUUCCGUAAUGUACGGCACUGCGGGUUUAUC
rnacentral:other from 1 species